ACUUAUUAAGCUAGUUUUUUCAAGUGACAUUUUGAAUAUUUAAUUCAAAAUUGAUAAAUGGUAAAUCAGAUCAACCUGAAUUUACCAAAUUGAUCAAAACCUUCGAUUGCGAAAUAGAAUAUAGAUCUAUCCAUCCAACUUGUGAUUUAUUUUUGUGAAGUACAAACAUACGUAAAUUAUAGUCGCAUAAUUGAAACGGAAUCAAGAUUUUCUUCAAACAAAUUGGCUCGAUAUUAGCCAAAUUAAAAUAAAAUUCGAAGAGAAAAAAAUGUGGGACUAAUUUUAAGAAGAGCACCUUCUGUAAAUUACAUGUAUUUGGAGCACAAUCAUAAUCAAAUUUUAAUUACAAAUUGAUAAAUUUUAGUUAGUAUUUAAACGUAAAUAUGGACACCAGCACAAAAGUUUGUUUAAUUAUGAAAUGUGGCCACUUCGUCAGAAUUAAAAUGAGCUGGAAAUUAAAGUCUGAGCAAAGGAAAAAGUUGAAAUCUUGGUUUGUAAUAAAUGCAAAGAAUUUUUUGGGCUGAAAAUGUCAAAAUCUUUUAGUAAUUCACUUGUUAUAUUAAUUACUCGCCAUUAAGACAGUUGAUUAGUGAAUUCGUUUCUAGGAAUUCGAAAUAAUAUGAGUAUAUAUUAUAUUCUUUUAAAAAAUUUAGAAAUGAUUUAUAGCUAAUUAACUAAAAAUGAAAGAAACUAAACAUUUGAGAAUGAUUAAGCAUUAAGUAGGGAGGUUUCUUGACAUUAUGAAAUUAAAGUUUGUUUAAGAGAAAAAGAAACAAAAGACAGAAAGGUCUAUUUUUCAUAAACAUAAAAUAAGUGCAUACACAAAUCAAAUCAAAUUCCAUUUUUUAAUGCGAUCCACCACUUUUUAAUAUUCAAGAAUCUCAUCCAAUUCUUACUAUAGUCAAAUUUCAAUAAUUGUUAGACCGUUAGGGACGUAGCUUAGACCUCCAAUAAUUCAAUAUUCAGCACUCCAAAAAUUCAUCAGUUCUUAUUGCCUUAAUGUAAUUAAAUAAAAAAAUUAUCACAACACACUAAAAUAAAAUAAAUUAAAUAUUUUGAAAUUUAUCCAACUGAAUUUUAAGGUAUAUGUAUACCUUAUCUCUGAAGCAUUCACUCUUGUUUUAAGCUGGCAAUGCAUUAUGCCCCACAUGCAAGCAAAGUGCCAAUCUCUCAUGAAAUUUGAGGUGGAAACUUGCCACCCUACUCCGCCACCCCCACCCCACCCCACCCCACCCCAACCCCAACCCCAGUUGAAAAUUACCUGACUGACAGAUUAAAUCUUCAACUGAUUUAGUUUUUUUAUUUGUUCACUCAAUCUUGAAAGCACUCUUUCAUUGUUCAAUUUUUCACUUAUUUUCAGUUCACAUGAUUGGUUCAAGAUUUCUUGUCCUGUUACAGUGAUGCUGGAAAUCAUCACGUGAUUUUCUAGUUUAUUUGAUUAUUUUAUCUAUUAAUUUCUAAGUUUUGUUGCUGAACUAAUCUAGGUAUUUUUUUUAAUCUAGUGAAAUAUAUAGCUCUUACAAAGGUUGUUGAAGUGAGUUUUAGAGAUCUAGUUUUUGGGGGGGUCUUUUUUCUUUUUCUUUUUCUGGUGUUGGGAAAAUGGGGAGUUCAGAAGAGAGAGUUGUGGCUGUGAUCAGUGGUGGGUGGCCCCNAUUUAUUAAUUUAUUUUCGAAUUUUCAGUUUAUUUAUUUAUUUUCUAAAUUUUCAGUUUAUUUAUUUUCUGAAUUUUCAGUUUAUUUAUUUAUCCAGUUUAUUUAUUUUCGAAUUUUCAGUUUAUUUAUUUUCUGAAAUUCCAGUUUAUUUAUUUAUUUAUUUUCAAAUUUUCAGUUUAUUUAUUUAUUUAUUUUCUGAAUUUUCAGUUUAUUUAUUUUCCAGUUUAUUUAUUUAUUUUCUGAAUUUUUAGUUUAUUUAUUUAUUUAUUUUCUGAAUUUUCAGUUUAUUUUUUAUUUAGUUACUUUCGAAUUUUCCAGUUUAUUUAUUUAUUUUCUGAAUUUUCAGUUUAUUUAUUUAUUUACUUUCUGAAUUUCAAGUUUAUUUAUUUAUUUAUUUUUCCGAAUUUUCAGUUUAUUUAUUUAUUUAUUUUCGAAUUUUUCAGUUUAUUUAUUUAUUUAUUUAUUUUCGAAUUUUCAGUUUAUUUAUUUUUCUGAAUUUUCAGUUUAUUUAUUUAUUUAUUAAUAUUUCAGAAUUUUCCAGUUUAUUUAUUUAUUUUCUGAAUUUUCAGUUUAUUUAUUUAUUUAUUUUCUGAAUUUCCAGUUUAUUUAUUUAUUUAUUUUCUGAAGUUUUAGUUUAUUUAAUUAAAGUGUAAAAAAAAAAAUAGCUUAUCAAAAAAAAAACUUCAAGUCAAGGCAUUAAAAUAAUGUCAAAUAGCUAGUGAAAGAUUAGUAAAAGUAAUCACAAUACAUUAACACUACCCUUUUAGUCUUUUACACCACCUUUACAUCACAUUUUUCAGCUUUCUUAGUUUCCGUGCCGACCACCAAAUGGGAAGUUGAUUGGUGGACGGAGGGAGUAUUUAUUACUCGUAUUAUUAUUAUUAUUAUAGUAGGUUUCUUGGCGACAUCUAAUUAUUGUAAUGUGUUUACUUAUUAAGCUAGUUUUUUCAAGUGACAAUUUGAAUAUUUAAUUCAAAAUUGAUAAAUGGUAAAUCAGAUCAACCUGAAUUUACAAAAUUGAUCAAAACCUUUGAUUGCGAAAUAGAAUAUAGAUCUAUCCAUCCAACUUGUGAUUUAUUUUUGUGAAGUACAAACAUACGUAAAUUAUAGUCGCAAUAAUUGAAACGGAAUCAAAGAUUUUCUUCAAACAAAUUGGCUCGAUAUUAGCCAAAUUAAAAUAAAAUUCGAAGAGAAAAAAAUGUGGGACUAAUUUUAAGAAGAGGCACGCUUCUGUAAAUUACAUGUAUUUGGAUGCACAAUGCAUAAUCAAAUUUUAAUUACAAAUUGAUAAAUUUUAGUUAGUAUUUAAACGUAAAUAUGGACACCAGCACAAAAGUUUGUUUAAUUAUGAAAUGUGGCCACUUCGUCAGAAUUAAAUGAGCUGGAAAUUAAAGUCUGAGCAAAG
rnacentral:lncRNA from 1 species